rnacentral:rRNA from 1 species
UGCGUAGGCGGCCUGAUAAGUCAGAGGUGAAAGCCCACCGCUUAACGGUGGAAUUGCCCCUGAUACUGUUGGGCUUGAGUUAGGUUGAGGUUGGCGGAAUGUGACAUGUAGCGGUGAAAUGCAUAGAUAUGUCAUAGAACACCAAUUGCGAAGGCAGCUGACUGGACCUAUACUGACGCUGAGGCACGAAAGCGUGGGGAGCGAACA